AAACUGCUGGGGAUUGAGUUGGUGCUUGCAUCUUUAAGUCUACAUAUUGNAGUGAGUGGCGAACUAGGGGAGUAGACACGUGGGAAACCUAGCUCGCAGAAGGCGGGGGAGUAACACCGUGUGAAACAGGAUGCUAAUACCUGCAGUAACAACGUUGGACCGCAUGGUCCGAGGCUUGAAAGAUGGCUUCGGCUAUCACUUAUGUGGAUGGUCCCGCGGCGUAUUAGCUAGAGUGGUGAGGGUAACGGCUCACCAUGGACAAGUGAUACGUAGACCGACCUGAGAGGGUAAUCGGCCACAUUGGGACUGAGACACGGCCAAACUCCUACGGGAGGCAGNCAGUAGGGAAUCUUCCACAAUGGACGAAAGUCUGAUGGAGCAACGCCGCCGAUGAGUGAAGAAGGGUUUCGGCUCGUAAAACUCUGUUUGUUAAAGACAGAACAUAAUCUGAGAGUAACUGUUCAGGUAUUGACGGUAUUNAACCAGAAAGCCAACGGGNUAACUACNUGCCAGACAGCACAGCAGGUAAUACGUAGAGUGGCAAGCGUAUGUCCGG
rnacentral:rRNA from 1 species